CGAGAGAGGUGCCCUUGGUAACUCCACUAUCAGAGACCAAAGAAGAGAGAUAUUCGAGAAGUAAAUAUGACAGCCCUCCAAUUUUACGUGUAUCUUCUUGUGAUGAGUUGGCUGUACCAACUUCAGGAUCAAUGGCUUAGGUUAGUGAUUGUCUGGUUGAGAAGAGUGAAGGUGAUUCUAAGGGUGAAGGUGCUGAAAAGAGUGAAACUAAUUCUAAAGGUGAAGGUGGUAAAAUUGAGGCUAUGAAUAACAAAUGUGAGAGUGAUUGUAAGAAUGAAAAUGAUGAAAAGGAAGCUGGAAGAUGCAUGAAGGUUGGUGAAUCACAGGCAUCAUCUCUAAGUUAUGUCGAAUCUACAUUAGUUCAAAUCCAUGUAAGCAAUUGCACGAAUGCUGCUUUACUCGAUAAGGAGGAUUCAUGCAAAAUUUCACUGGCAGGUAAGAGUGGGUUAAACAUGGCUGCAGAAAAAGAUGGUGACCUGCUGCAGACGGAGGAUCUUUCUCUUGACAAAUCAUUUGUUAGUAAAACUGAGGUAGCCAGCAUUGAGAGUCGUGCUGGUGGUGGACUCACAAAAGAACAGGAGACAGGAGACACCAUAGAGGAGGAGACUGUUGUUUCACCUGCAUUGGGGACUGACGGUCAAAAUUUGAAGGGAAUCACAUCCUUUGGAUCUCCAUCUACCAAGACAGAAGCUUUAGUUGAUGUUCAUCAGGAGGACAAACUUGAAGUAUCGGGAGAAAUAUCGGGAGAAAGAACACAUUCUGAUAAAGUUGUGAUGGCCGAGGUUUGUGAACCAGACAAGUUAUCAGUUAAAGCUUCACUGGAGAUAACUAAAGAUUUAAGUAUGGUGGAGGAAGAAAAAUCUUUGACUCCAGAAACUUCUGAAAAGCAAGCUAAUGUUGCAGACUCCCUUACAGAAAAAUGUGAGAGCGAUCUUGCAGCACAAGGUCCAGAUAUGAAAGAUUCGGACCUAGUAAUGAGUCCCAAUCCAGUUUAAUUGUUGGCACAUCACAAAGGGAACCUGAAAAACAAGAAAUUGCUGAAGCAAACUUGCACCCAGAGACUUUGCGAAGCACGAAAUCUGGUGCUCGGGAGGAAUCCCUUUCACUUAGGAUUGCUUCAAAUCCCGAAGCUGUUGAGGCUCCAAAAGAAACAUUUUGCAGCAACCAUGACAUGAAUUGUGUAGCUGAAUUACAGGGUAACAUGAGUUCUGAUGUAAAGGAAGAUCUUUCUAAUUCUGAAGCUUAUGUGUCUCAACUAUGUCCAGCUGUUGGGUCAUCUGAAAAUCACCCAGAAUUAAAACAGGUUAUGGUGGAAGACAUGCGAACUAAAAUUUGUGAGGAGUCACAUGAAGUUGAUGACAUUGUACCUUCUCAAACGGAGAAGGCUAGUGUUCAGUGCCGUGAUGAUUUGUCUGUUGAGACAAAUGAGAGCAGAAGAUCUGAAGAUAAUGUAGAUGUUUUAAAUGGUGAACUAAAAAAACCUCCAUCUAGCACAAUUGCUGGAACAUCUGAAAAGGUAGUAGAUCUGCUGUUAGUUGCCGAGGAAAACACAGUAAGGAUAAAUGAUGGUUCAAUAGAUUCAGGUCAGGUGGCAGAAAAGUCCGAGGAUAUAUCAAUUCAAGAUCUUACUGUUGAAGGCCAAGCGACAAAGGGAAGUGAUGCUGCCGAAGAUAUUUCAACAUCAAGUUCUACAUUUAAUGAACCUCAACACAGUGCUGGCACAUCUAAAAAUGAAGUGGAAUCUCAAAUUGUUUAUCUUCUGAAGUUUCUAUGUGUGCAGCACCGAAUUCUGCUAGUAGCACUUUCAAAUUGUUUCUCUUCCGUAUUAAUAGUUUCUCUUCCUGCUUCAGGCAAAGAAGAGAACUCCAGUAUCAAGCAAGGUGGAGAUGAAGACAUGUCAACUGCAACAGAGUAUGGUGAUGAAGAAUUGUCAUUUGCUACAGGGGCUGGUGAUGAUAAAACUGUGUCCACUGCAGUUACUGAUGUUUGAUCUGGCAUUUCUCCUGUAUUGCAGGUGAUGGAUGAACAGGACUGGCAUCGCUGGAAUCUGCAAUGUGAACUGGAAAGGAUCAGAAAAGGAAAACGCUUCUGCAAUAUAAUUUUGAAUACAGCUGCUUCUGCAUGUGGGAUGGCACGGAUACUCCAUUAGUCACUAUCAAUUAUCUAAACAAAGUGAGUGCUUUUUACUUUCCUAGGUAGGCUUUGAACUCGGAGUACACUUGUGAUGUCAGUAGACAAAUUUUAAUAUGAGAGGUGCGCAGUGGAAUGGAACUUUACCAAGCCGAAGUGGCUUACUCUUGCAACAGCUUUA